UGACCCCCGGCCGAACGGCGGGGGUUGGAAAGAUUUCUUGGUUGGGGAUGGGCUCCCGGCCUAUCAGCUUGUGGGAUAGGUAAUGGCUCACCAAGGCGUCGACGGGUAUCCGGCCUGAGAGGGUGACCGGCCACACUGGGACUGAGACACAGCCCACACUCCUACGGGAGGCAGCAGUGGGGAAUAUUGCACAAUGGGCGGAAGCCUGAUGCACCAACGCCGCGUGAGGGAUGACGGCCUUCGGGUUGUAAACCUCUUUUAGCAGGGAAGAAGCGAAAGUGACGGUACCUGCACAAAAAGCACCGGCUAACUACGUGCCACCAGCCGCGGUAAUACUAGGGUGCAAGCGUUAUCCCGAAUUAUUGGGCGUAAAGAGCUCGUAUGCGGUUUGUCACGUCUGCUGUGAAAUCCCGAGGCUCAACCUCGGGCCUGCCGUGGGUACGGGCAGACUACAGUGCGGUAUGGGAGAUUGGAAAUCCUGGUGUAACCCUGGAAUGCGCAGAUAUCAGGAGGAACACCCAUGGCGAAAGCGGAUCUCUGGGCCGUAACUGAUACUCACGAGCGAAAGGGUGGGGAGCAAACAGGCUUAAAAACCUGGUAGCCCCCCCCCCUACGCUCGGAAAAUUUGUGGGGGCCAAUCUACCCAUUCCCGACGAAACUCACCCACUAAAUUCCCCCCCUGGGGAGUCAGCCGCAGGGC
rnacentral:rRNA from 1 species